GCCUAGCCGUAAACAAUUAACUUACACUAAUAAACGCCAGGGAACUACGAGCUAUGCUUAAAACCCAAAGGACUUGACGGUGUCCCAUACCCACUAGAGGAGCCUGUUCUAUAAUCGAUGAUCCCCGCUAUACCUAACCAUCCCUUGCUUUAUCAGCCUGUAUACCUCCGUCAUAAGCCUACCAUGUGAACGUCAACAGUGGGCCUAAUGGUUAUUAUAAACCAACAUGCCAGGUCAAGGUGCAGCUCACGGAAUGGUAAGUAAUGGGCUACAAUUUCUAAUCUAGAACAAACGGAAGGUUAUGUGAAAUCAUAACAUAAAGGUGGAUUUAGUAGUAAAAAGAAAAUAGAGUGUUCUUUUUAACCCGGCCCUGGGACACGUACACACCGCCCGUCACCCUCUUCAAUAGCUCUCACUUUCUAUAUAUAAUAGCAUAUUUGCGUUUUAGAAGAGGCAAGUCGUAACAUGGUAAGUGUACUGGAAAGUGCACUUGGUUAACAACAUAUAGCUUAA
rnacentral:rRNA from 1 species